rnacentral:rRNA from 1 species
UACGUAGGUGGCAAGCGUUGUCCGGAUUUACUGGGUGUAAAGGGCGUGUAGCCGGGUUGACAAGUCAGAUGUGGAAUCCUGCGGCUUAACCGCAGAACUGCAUUUGAAACUGUUGAUCUUGAGUACUGGAGAGGCAGACGGAAUUCCUAGUGUAGCGGUGAAAUGCGUAGAUAUUAGGAGGAACACCAGUGGCGAAGGCGGUCUGCUGGACAGCAACUGACGGUGAGGCGCGAAAGCGUGGGGAGCAAACAGG